GAUGAACGCUGGCGGCGUGCCUAAUACAUGCAAGUCGAGCGAACAGAUGAGGCGCUUGCUCCUUUGACGUUAGCGGCGGACGGGUAAGUAACACGAGGGUAACCUACCUAUAAGAAUGGCAUAACUCCGGGAAACCGGGGAUAACGCAGGAUAACAUUUAGAACCGCAUGGUUCUAAAGUGAAAGAUGGUUCUGCUAUCACUUAUAGAUGGAACCGCGCCGUAUUAGCUAGUUGGUAAGGUAACGGCGUACCAAGGCAACGAUACGUAGCCGACCUGAGAGGGUGAUCGGCCACACUGGAACUGAGACACGGUCCAGACUCCUACGGGAGGCAGCAGUGGGGAAUCUUGCACAAUGGGCGAAAGCCUGACGCAGCAACGCCGCGUGUGUGAUGAAGGUCUUCGGAUCGUAAAACUCUGUUAGUAGGGAAGAACAAAUGUGUGUUUAUCUGUUGACGUCUUGACGUUACCUAAACAAAAAGCCACGGCUAACUACGUG
rnacentral:rRNA from 1 species